GAUGAACGCUGGCGGCGUGCCUAAUACAUGCAAGUCGAGCGAACGGACGAGAAGCUUGCUUCUCUGAUGUUAGCGGCGGACGGGUGAGUAACACGUGGAUAACCUACCUAUAAGACUGGGAUAACUUCGGGAAACCGUAGCUAAUACCGGAUAAUAUUUUGAACCGCAUGGUUCAAAAGUGAAAGACGGUCUUGCUGUCACUUAUAGAUGGAUCCGCGCUGCAUUAGCUAGUUGGUAAGGUAACGGCUUACCAAGGCAACGAUGCAUAGCCGACCUGAGAGGGUGAUCAGCCACACUGGAACUGAGACACGGUCCAGACUCCUACGGGAGGCAGCAGUAGGGAAUCUUCCGCAAUGGGCGAAAGCCUGACGGAGCAACGCCGCGUGAGUGAUAAAAGUCUUCGGAUCGUAAAACUCUGUUAUUAGGAAAGAACAUAUGUGUAAGUAACUGUGCACAUCUUGACGGUACCUAAUCAGAAAGCCACGGCUAACUACGUG
rnacentral:rRNA from 1 species